GAUUGUGGGAAAGAUUUCAUCGGCGUGGGAUGGGGUCGCGUCCUAUCAGCUUGUUGGUGAGGUAACGGCUCACCAAGGCUUCGACGGGUAGCCGGCCUGAGAGGGCGACCGGCCACAUUGGGACUGAGAUACGGCCCAGACUCCUACGGGAGGCAGCAGUGGGGAAUAUUGCACAAUGGGCGCAAGCCUGAUGCAGCGACGCCGCGUGAGGGAUGGAGGCCUUCGGGUUGUAAACCUCUUUUGUUUGGGAGCAAGCCUUCGGGUGAGUGUACCUUUCGAAUAAGCGCCGGCUAACUACGUGCCAGCAGCCGCGGUAAUACGUAGGGCGCAAGCGUUAUCCGGAUUUAUUGGGCGUAAAGGGCUCGUAGGCGGCUCGUCGCGUCCGGUGUGAAAGUCCAUCGCUUAACGGUGGAUCUGCGCCGGGUACGGGCGGGCUGGAGUGCGGUAGGGGAGACUGGAAUUCCCGGUGUAACGGUGGAAUGUGUAGAUAUCGGGAAGAACACCGAUGGCGAAGGCAGGUCUCUGGGCCGUCACUGACGCUGAGGAGCGAAAGCGUGGGGAGCGAACAGGAUUAGAUACCCUGGUAGUCCACGCCGUAAACGGUGGACGCUGGAUGUGGGGCACGUUCCACGUGUUCCGUGUCGGAGCUAACGCGUUAAGCGUCCCGCCUGGGGAGUACGGCCGCAAGGCUAAAACUCAAAGAAAUUGACGGGGGCCCGCACAAGCGGCGGAGCAUGCGGAUUAAUUCGAUGCAACGCGAAGAACCUUACCUGGGCUUGACAUGUUCCCGACGACGCCAG
rnacentral:rRNA from 1 species